rnacentral:lncRNA from 1 species
UUACCAACUGGUAUGCAGGAAAUCAGUAUGGCAUGAGGGAUUUCAUGCCAAUAUUGCUGGCUGCUAGACCCAUCAAAUGGGCAGUAGCUGGCUGGAUGAAUGGGUCGAUAUUGAGUCCAGACCCUGACCAUGGAUUUGCCUUUGUACCAAAUUAUACCCAUACCCGCUAUGUACAGGCUUGUGUUAUGCCACCCUUUGCCAUGCUAAUAAUCAAUGAUACUGAUGGCAUAAAUAUCAAUUGUACAGAGGUCCCUUGUGCAGUCAAUACAUCCUCCUGGCUCACAAAUUAUCUAACCCCUGCUGUGAAAGCUAAACGUAUAUUUAUCCUCAGAGUAUCCCCAGCAAUCUGGCUUUCAGUGAACCUGUCCAGAGAGUGGAGCAAGCACAGGGACUGCAACAAUCAGCCCCAUGCCCCACAUAGAGAUGAAGAAUCUUCUGAAUGAGACCCUACACUAGACAAAGUGAGCAAUUAGCCUCAUCAUCGCUGGAAUUAUUGUCCUGGUAGCUGCUGCCAUCGCCACCACAGCCACUGCUGCUGCUUCGCUCAUUCAGAGUAUCCAGACUGCUCAGACUGUAAACAAUUUGUGUACUGCCAUGGCAGAAGCCUUUGCUGUUCAAAAUGACUUAAAUAAACUGUCCCAAGCCACUAUUUUAGCCAUUCAGGAAGAACUAGACCUUCACCAGGAACAACUAGAUAUUCUGUUU